rnacentral:rRNA from 1 species
GGAGCAUGUGGUUUAAUUCGAAGCAACGCGAAGAACCUUACCAGGUCUUGACAUCCUUUGACCACUCUGGAGACAGAGCUUUCCCUUCGGGGACAAAGUGACAGGUGGUGCAUGGUUGUCGUCAGCUCGUGUCGUGAGAUGUUGGGUUAAGUCCCGCAACGAGCGCAACCCUUGAUUUUAGUUGCCAGCAUUUAGUUGGGCACUCU